GUUAGCCAAGUGAAGCAGUGGGAGUGGAGAAGGAACAAAGAAUCUGUAAAGUAGUUGUGAUCAAUUAGUUGUAAACACCACUGCACUCAGACUCAGACCAGCUUGCGUUGACUUUUAUGACCUAAUCUCAGAGGUUCCACUGUACUCUACUUGUUGAAGCAGCUACAAAAACACCACAUUUAAGUAAAGGGGACACUAAUUGGGAGGAGUGUUAGUCACAUUAUAAGCAUGUGGAAUGAGAGAUAGUAGAGAUAUUAUUGCAGUCAUUUAAGGAAAAUAUAAUCUCCCAUAAUAUUAAUAUCUAUUUUCCUUUUGUAAAAAAAGAAAAAUGUACCAUUUCAGGCUGAGCAUGUUGGCUCACGCCUGUAAUCAUAGCAUUUUGGGAGGCUGAGGCUGGUGGAUCACCUGAGGUCAGGAAUUCGAGACCAGGCUGGCCAACAUGGCGAAACCUCGUCUCUGCUAAAAAUACAAAAAUUAGCCGGGUGUGGUGGCGGUCACCUAUAAUCCCAGCUACUCAUAAGGCUGAGGCAGGAGAAUCGCUUGAACCCAGGGGCGGAGGUUGCAGUGAGCUGAUACCACCACUGCACUCCAGCCUGGGUGACAGAGUGAAACUCCAUCUCAAAAAAACAAAACAAAAACUGAAAUGUACCAUUUCAGAUAUUUUUUCUGAAAUUAAACCUGAAAAGGUCAAAAAACACAUAAAUUAAGUCCAUUUCAGUUACUUACCAUGUACAGGUAUUGUCUAAGUCUAUAGAAGUUCAGACUAUAGUAGUUCAAAAUACCUUAUACGGGGCAGCUUAUAAAAAAGUUUAUUUCUCAUAGUUCUGAAGGCUGGGAAGUCCGGGUUCAAGUUUCUGGCAGAUUCAGUGCCUGUCGAGGGACUGCUUUUUGAUUCACAGAUAGUGUCUUCUAGCUGUCUCCUCAUGUGGUAGAAGGGUGCCUUUUUAUUAGUACUCCUAGUUUUAUUUAUUUUAUUUUAUUUUUUAGAGACAGGGGUUUUACUAUGUUGCCCAGGCUAGCCUCAAACUCCUGCGCUUGAGCGAUCCUCCCACCUCAGCCUCCCAAGUAGUUGGGACUACAGGCACACGUUAAAACACCUGGUUCCUAGUAGUGCUUCUUUUAUAAAGGCACUAAUCUCAUCUAUGGCACCAGAUCCCUCGUGACCUAAUUACCUCUCAAAGAUCCCAUCCCUUAAUACCAUCAUAUUGGUGAUGAGGUUUCAAUACAUGAAUUUGGGGGGCUGGGGACACAAACAUUGAGACCACAGUAGGUGUUAACGUUGAUAUGAGCUGGUAAGUGAUAACACCUGGCAGCAAUCAGAUACACAGCCAUAGGUGAAGGCAGGUGAUUAGAAUUACCAGCCAACACGUUUAUGUGCUAGCUAAUUUUUAUUCAAAACUUUCUGAAGCUACAUUCAAAGCAGUUAAUGGGAAAUGGAGUAAAAAAAUAGGCAACCUCUCACUCUAGGUAAUGCUGUUAAAAGUAAUUUUUCCUCCCAGUCCUCUCCUGUAAUGAAUAGUAUAAGAAGGUAUCCUCCCAACGUAGAGGCACCUUGUGUUUCCAAAGUUUUAAUUAGUUGUCAUGAUAGUUUUAUGUGUCUAUUUGACUGGGUUAAGGGAUGCCCAAAUAGGUAGUAAAACAUUAUUUCUGGGUGUAUCUGUGAAGGUGUUUCUGGAUAAGAUUAACAUUUGAAUGGGUAGACUGAGUAGAGCAGACUGUCCUCCCCCAUGUGGGUGGGCCUUAUCCAAAUGGUUGAAGGCCAAAAUAGAACAAAAAAGCUGAGUGGAGAGGAUUUCCUCUGCCUGACUACCUUCGAACUGGGACGGUGGCUGUUUCCUGCCUUUGGACUUGAACUGAAACAUCAGCUCUUCCAGAGUCUUGAGCCUCCUGGCUUUUGAACUGAAACAACAGUAAUGGCUUUCCUGGUUCUAAGGCAUUUGGACUUGGACUAGAACUACACCAUCAGUUCCCCUGGGUCUCCAGCUUGCCAGUCUCCAGUUUGCCAACUGCAGAUGUUGGGACUUGUCAGCCUCCAUAACUCCAUGAACCAAUUUUUUGUAAUAAAUCUCUUUCUAUAUGUCUAUUUAUUCUGUUGGUUCUGUUUCUCUGGAGAACCCUAAAGCCAUAGGUAAUUUUUAAAAAAAAAAACUCUUUCCUUCUCUGUUUUUCUCUUAUACUUUUGUGGUGUAGUGAUAGGCCAAAUCACAUAGGUGCUAAUAAAUACUUUUCCAACAAGUACUUAACCUUGUUUAGGUGGUAAUCACUUGUCUUACCUUUGGGUUCAGAAGAAUUCCCAAUUCCAACUUUCUUAGAUAUUUAUUGAAGAGCAGCAGGAGGGUUGGGUGGGGGGAAGAAGAGAUGGAAUAGGAUUUAGGAUCAUUGCAAAGACCGAGGUAGUUGGGGAACAUAAAGGUUUUAUGUUGCCUUUCUUCUUCCUCCUUAUCAUUGAAGGUCUCCUCCUCCCUCCUGCUCCCCAUCACACACCCUCAUAUGCCCCCAUGUGGCCUCUUACUAAACAGGGAGAGAAGAGAAGAGCUGGAGAAAUGGAAGUAUUUUGUAUUGGAAAGCCCAAGCAGCAGCAUGCUGAGGAAUGAGGAGUUUUUAUGGCCCCUGGCUACCCAUCUGGAAUAAGCAGUUCUAUUUCCAAAUGGCUAUUUCUAUGCCAAUGUAAAAAGACAUAGAUAAUGCAGAUUAUUGUGUAGACAUUACUAAUAGUCAACAAUAUCUCGUUUUCCUCUUCUUCCAGGCAUACUGAAGACUGUAUUUCUCAGCUGCCUUUGCAGUUGUGGAAGGAGCUUUAUGUUGAAAUGGAAGAGCCAAAAGAUUGAAGUAGUCUAUGUCUCAGUCACCAUAUGGGAGGGCAAAUGCCCUGGAGAACCACCCAGACACACAACAAGUUUGUAUGAAUAAGAAAUAAAACUUUGUUGUAUAAGUAAUCAUGAUUUUUGGAGUUGCUUAUUAUCACAGCAUAACCCAGCCUAUUCUGGCAGACAUUGUUAUGAAAAUUGGGGCCUGCAUAUUUAGGAGAGCACAGAUUGUAUUUCUGGGGAAUGGAAGGUUUUAAGUCAGGACUUUAAAAAUAUUCUGUGUUUAUUAGUAGUGGCAAAAAGGAUAUCCUAGGUCCUUGUAAAAUGAAAGUGGUAGCUGAUAAUAGAGCCUCUGGGCAUCUUUGAAUUAAACUAUUGGGCUUUUCACGUCAAAAAAAGCAUAUUGGUCUCUGAUAAACUUACAUUGUUGAAACAGGUUUUUGGAGAGUACUUAAGCUUGGGGUAGGCAAUAACCCAUUUCUCUUUUCCUGGAGACCUAGAUUGUCUCUUUACACAGAUUUCUACUAACGCUCUCAAGAUAAAGAACCUAAUAUGGAGAGAUAAGGGAGUAUGAAUGUUGAUGUCAGUUGUACCUCUUGAAUAUUUUGUUGUUGUUGUUGUUGUUGUUAUUGGUUUUAAUGGUUAAAAUAUCUUUUCUCACGAUGAGGAAGAAAAUAGAGAAGACAAAACAAUGUAGCAGCAUUCACGGUAAGAGGCUAAGGAUGACAACCAGAAAGAGAAAAGAGAGAAAGAGGAAGAGAGAUGGAGAGAGAGAGAAGCUGAUGUUGAAGUUAAACAAAAUUCUGAAAGGGGCAUUUUUUAAAAAUGAGAGACAUGUGGGCUGAACAAUAGAGAAGCCCUUUCCUGCUGAGGGGCCGGAGCCAGGGGCUCCUAGGUGUAGUGUGGGGGCGCCAGGCCCUGACAUGGCCACUGGGUAGAGGACAGCACCUGAAAUGGGGGCAGGCAGUGGGGCCGGGGCCCUGGGCCUUGGGCUCCAUGCUCCAGAGCCCCAGGCUGCGGCUGACAUCCUUUGAGUCUGGCACCAGGGCCUAGUUGAGGGUCCCCAGCAGUUCUCGGAGCUACAGAGGCAGGGGAUCUUGAUGUCUUCGAUGGGGUAACUUACAGUCAUUGGUAGUCUCCUCGUUGGUGCUGAUGGGCUGCUUCAAGUAGAUGACUAUCUUCUCGAAGAUAGAACCAUUUAAGAUAGAACCAUUCCAAUCAUGUUCAAGUAACACUGGGCAGUUACUUGUAAGAUAGAACCAUUCCAAUCAUGUUCAAGUAACACUGGGCAGUUACUUGACCUCUCUAAACUCAGUUUUCUCCUCUACCAGAGAUAAAGAUGCCUAUUUUGCACGGCUGUUUUGAGGACGACAAAAUAUUGAAUCAAUAACAAUCUCUGACAGUGAUACAUUAUAGGCCAUCAAUAAUGGACUUUCUCGAGCAGGAGGAACAGUGUUGCCGCUCUGCUCCUGGCUGCCAAGUCACAGCAUGCUGCAAGAACAAGUGCCUUCACCUCCCGGAAGGGGAAACGGGUUGGCUGGAAAAGUAUUCAAAGAAGUAAUGGCUGGAAACUUCCUAUAUUUGGCAAAAAUCAUAAGCCUAGAGAUUCAAGAAGUUAAGCAAAUUCUAAACAGAAUAAGCCCAAUGAAAUUUAUGACAAGAUACGUCAUAGUCAAACUUCUGAAAACUCAGACAUAGAAAACUAUCUUGAGGGCUGGGUGCGGUGGCUCACGCCUGUAAUCCCAGCACUUUGGGAGGCCAAGGUGGGGGGAUUGCCUGAGCUCUGAAGUUUGAGACCAGCCUGGGCAACACGGUGAAACCCUGUCUCUACUAAAAUACAAAAAAAAAAUUAGCCAGGUGGGGCAGCGUGCGCCUGUUGUCCCAGGUACUCAGGAGACUGAGGCAGGAGAAUUGCUUGAACCCGGGAGGCAGAGGUUGCAGUAAGCCGAGAUCACACCACUGCACUCCAGCCUGCACCACUGCACUGCAGCCUGGGCAACAGAGCGAGACUCCGUCUCAAAAAAACAAAAACAAAAACAAAACAAAACAACAACAAAAAAAACUACCUUGAAAGUAGCCAAAGAGGAGUGCCACAUUACCUUUUGUGGGAAAACAAUGUGAAUGAUAACAGAUUUCUCACUGAAACCAUGUAGGUCAGAGAGAAAUGGCACACUUUUCAAGUACUGAAAGAAAAUAACUGUUGGCCCAGAAUUCUAUAUUCAAUGAAAAUAUCCUUCAAGAAUGAAGGGGAAAGGGAUUGUAGUUUUAAAAUUUGGGAAACAGUGACCAAAAUCCGAGAGCUUCUCUUUGGAACGUCAAGGGCAAGCAGCAAGACCGGGAGAUGUAGUUUGGGGGAGCAAGGAGGACAUAUCGGAUUAGAGACUCUUCUUUGGAAGACUGAUCUAAAGGUUUAGGAAGUACUUGGAGAAUAAGGAAAUGUUGGGGUGUCCUGAUGAGUUGGUUUGUGAACCCCAAGUAUACAAAGACAUUCUUAUGAGGCAGAAUGUCUCAAGGACUUAGAGAUUAUCUCCCAGGAGCCAGUCAAGGGCCAAUCUUUUCUUUGAAAUAUAUGGAGUUUAUACAUCCCAAGCCUGCUUAGUUAACCCUGUAUUGCACAUACAGCAACCAAAUGCAAUGCGUGGACCUUGUUUGAAUUUUGAUUCAAACAAACCACUGUAAACAAAACAAAACAAAACAAAAAACCUUUUCCUUUUUUCAUUUAACAGUUUAUUAAGGUACAAUAGACAUAUAACACAUUGCAUAUAUUUAAAUUGUACAGUUUGAUAAGUUUUGAUAUAUGCAUAUACUUGUGACAUGAUCACCACAAUCAAAAUAAUGAAUGUAUACAGACAUCAGUCCCAAGGUUUCUUCUUGUUCUUCUUUAUUCCCUCCACCUGGCUCUUCUAUGUCCUCCCUAUCCCCACGCAACCACGUAUCUUCUUUCUGUUACCAAAUUUGUAUUUUUCAGAAUUUUAUAUAAAUGGAAUUAUGUAGUGUGU